GACGAACCGAGCGAACGUUGUUCGGAAUCACUGGGCUUAAAGGGCGCGUAGGCGGGUGCUCAAGUCUGUGGUGAAAUCCUCCGGCUCAACCGGAGAACGGCCAUGGAUACUGGGUGUCUCGAGGGUGAUAGGGGUAUGCGGAACUAUCGGUGGAGCGGUGAAAUGCGUUGAUAUCGAUAGGAACUCCGGUGGCGAAGGCGGCAUACUGGAUCACUUCUGACGCUGAGGCGCGAAAGCCAGGGGAGCAAACGGG
rnacentral:rRNA from 1 species